AUACGUAGGUGGCAAGCGUUGUCCGGAAUUAUUGGGCGUAAAGGGCUCGCAGGCGGUUUCUUAAGUCUGAUGUGAAAGCCCCCGGCUCAACCGGGGAGGGUCAUUGGAAACUGGGAAACUUGAGUGCAGAAGAGGAGAGUGGAAUUCCACGUGUAGCGGUGAAAUGCGUAGAGAUAUGGAGGAACACCAGUGGCGAAGGCGACUCUCUGGUCUGCAACUGACGCUGAGGCGCGAAAGCGUGGGGAUCAAACAGGAUUAGAUACCCUGGUAGUCCACGCCGUAAACGGUGAGUGCUAAGUGUUGGAGGGUUUCCGCCGUUCAGUGCUGCAGCUAACGCAUUAAGCACUCCGCCUGGUGAGUACGGCCGCAAGGCUGAA
rnacentral:rRNA from 1 species